rnacentral:rRNA from 1 species
UACGGGGGGGGCAAGCGUUGUUCGGAAUUACUGGGCGUAAAGGGCGUGUAGGCGGCCAACUAAGUCCGACGUGAAAUCCCCAGGCUUAACCUGGGAACUGCGUCGGAUACUGGAUGGCUUGAAUCCGGGAGAGGGAUGCGGAAUUCCAGGUGUAGCGGUGAAAUGCGUAGAUAUCUGGAGGAACACCGGUGGCGAAGGCGGCACCUGGACCGGCAUUGACACCUAAAGCGCGAAAGCCAGGGAGACAAACGGG